GCUUCCUCAGUCGCAGCCCUUCUACCUCUUUUUUUGCGCGUGCGUGCAGCUCCUAUGCUCAGCCUAAGAGGUGGAGGGGCCGUGCGGAGUGUGGGCCCGAGGGUCCAUAGAUGACGUAUCAGUCGAUAGGCAUUUAUUCUACUGUUCGAGGAAAACAAAUAAGGGUGCAGCUUAGGCGAAAAGAAAAACAUCUUAUUGCCAAUGUCUAAACUCCAACGGAAUGUGUCUGAGACCGUGUGUAUGGAUACACACGUACUUGAAACAGACCCGCCUGUGUGUACAGCUCUUGCUGUAAGUCAACGCUUUACCGGAGCUAUCGCACUUAAGCCUCAGAACAACUUUAUGAGGUCUACUUCUAACAGGCUUGUUUAUAUGCAUUCUUAUUCUAUCCUGGAUUGGAAUCAGAAAAUUGGACAGUGUUGCAGGUUCUGACUGAUGCAGGCACACCGACAGUGAUGAAAGUGAGAACUGUGUCCUGUGAUGUACAACUCCCAUGGGCAACAUUUACAUUGUAAUGUAUGUAAAUGGAAUUUCCUGAAGCACAAUUAAGAGGCUACAGGGACUUCCCCGGUGGCGCAGUGGUUAGGAAUCUGCCUGCCAGUGCAGGGGACACAGGUUCGAGCCCUGGUCCGGGAAGAUCCCACAUGCUGCGGAACAACUAAGCCCGUGCGUGACAACUACUGAGCCUGUGCUCUGGAGCCUGCGAACCACAACUGCUGAGCCUGAGUGCCACAACUACUGAAGCCCGUGCGCCUAGAGCCCAUGCUCCGCAACAAGAGAGGCUACCGCAGUGAGAAGCUUGCACACCGCAACGAAGAGUAGCCCCUGCUCGCAGUAACGAGAGAAAGCCCGCGUGCAGCAACGAAGACCCAAGGCAGCCAAAAAUAAAUAAAUAAAUAAAUUUAUAAAAACAUUACCAGAAGCAGUGAGAAAAAAGAAAAGUCUGCAACCUAAGCCAAUGAAAGCCAAAAAAAUACUAUUAUUUCAAAAUAAAUAAAUAAAUAAAUUUGGAUCAGCAAGAAACGAAAUAAGCAUGGCUGGAAAUCAAAUUCUCACCAAAAGAAAAGACUGGCAAUCCCAGCACAUUCCCUAGUCAAUUCAUCAAGAUGAUUAUGCCUUGUCUCCUCUCUCCUAAAUCUCCCACAUUUCCCUGCUCCUCACUUCAAACUCUCGUUUCAUUGAUAAAUAGAAGCUAUCACAAGAGAAACUCCUUUUUCCCACGUUAUACCUAUCAACCUGACUUCAUCUGUACUCAUAUAUACUCUCCCUUUAUAAAGGGUCAACUCUCCCUGCUCUUAUCUAAGGCGCAAGCCCCUCUACUUGUACCCUGGAUCCCAUCUUUUCUUGUAUAGUCAAGGAUUGUGCUCCUGUGAUUACCCCCUCCGUUUCCUGCAUCCUCAGUUUCUCUCUCUUUACUAGAUUAUUCCAAUCAGUAAACAUACUGUAGUAUUUCCUUCUAAAAAUACCAUCACCCUAGACCUCAUAUACUCCUCCACUUACUUGGUGAGUAGGAGCCCAUUUUUUCUGCUCCCUUUUAUAACAAACUUUUAAAAGGUUGUCUGUACUUGGCAGUUUCCACUUCCUCACCAUACAUCAUCUCUUCAGUCCAUUCCAAUUAGGAUUAUUGUCUCCAUAGCUCCACCUAAACUGCUCUUGUUGAGAUCAUCAGUUACCUUCUUGCCAGAUCAUUUUCCUUUUCCCAAAUGUUUGGGACUCCCAGGCAUAUUCCUCACCCUUUUUUUUUUCACCGUAAUAUUAAUUUCCCCCUCAGUCGUCUUAUCCAAUUUUUCUGAUUUUAAAUAUUGUCUGUGUUCUUAGGACUCCUGAAAUUUGUAUUCUAUCCCUAAUACCUUUGUUGAGCUCCAAACCCAUAUCUGCCAACUCCACUCAGAUGUCUAAUAAGGACUGCAAAGUUAACUCAUUCAAAACAAACAUAUUGAUUUUCUUCUCCCUCUCAAUUUACUUCUACCCAAGUUUCCCCCAUGUCAACAAGUGGCAUUAUUUUCAUCCAGUUGCUCAAGACAAAAACCUAGAAGUCAUUCUUAAUUCCUCUUUGUGCCAGUUAUUAGGCUGUUAUCUCUUAGUAAUAGACCAUUCCACACUCUGAUGCUGGGACUGGGACUCUGCAAGCUACAUUUCUAUACUUUGCCAGCUGAAUCCUUGCUACAGUCUGUCAGUAAGCGACAUUAGAAAAAAAGACUAAAAGUCAAGAAGAGGGAAAAAGAACUUGCUCCUCCUUGUUGGCUUUCUGCACCUGCCAGCAUUGCCCCAGUUAUGGACCUUCACCCUCACAGCAGCAGUUAGCCCCAAAUUUCAACUAUUUUCCACUUUCCUAGAACCAGCCCCAGCAUAUCUCUCAGAGGCACCAGCAGCAAGUGGGCAGCACCCCCUGCCCCAGGUCAGGGUUCCAACUCUGCUGGGUCUCCCCUCCUAGCCCCGGGGUUCUAGUAACUUCACGUCUUCCCAAGUUUAUCCAGGACUAGGUUACUUCCUGAAGUUAUUAUAUUAUCUCAGUGCUCCCCUUUUCCUUUUUCAGUUAGACAACACCUGUUUGACCAAUUCUUUAUACUCAAUUUAUUGCUGUUGAGAUACUUAGCAGCAGCCAGAGUGACUCCUCUAAAGCAUAUAUCAUCUCCUUGCUCCUCAUCACUGUUGGAACAAAAUUCAGCCUCCUCUUUCGGGCCUUCGGCCCCUUUUGUGACCCGGCCUAUCCAAUUUUCUAGUCUCACCUCUCACCAGUUUCUGAUCACUCAUGCAGCUCUAAUCAUUCUGUCUUGAACACACCACUUUUCCACUGCAGGGCCUUUGUACUUGCUCUUCUCUACAUCUGGAUUGCCCAGGUCUUUGCCUAUCUCACAGCCUCGUUCCAUUCAUGUUUAUUCUCAAAUGUCAUCUCGGAGAGGCCUACUCUCACUGCAUCAUCUAAAAUGCACAAUUCCCCCCCCCUCCAUUUCCUUACCUGGGUUUCUUAUUCUCACUACCUGACUUUGUUAUGUUUAUUUCUCCCUCCCCUAUUCUCAAGUAAAAAGUUUAAUAGCUUCACAUAAAGGAAGGGAUGUGAUCUUAUUUACCACUGGUGCUGGCACUCAAUAAAUUCCAGUUGACAACUGAAUUUAAUAAGUGAAUGCAGAAGAAAAGUGGACCAAAGUAAUUGCAAACAAGAUAAUAUGCACGUUAGACAAAGACAACAUGAUAUAGCCUAAUUCAACUCCUUGAGUACAUAAUGCAACAAAUGAAUCAGAAAAAGCACUUAAAGAUUUAACAGAAGAGAAUUUCCACAAAAUCAUACAAGAACUGAAUCUGCAGAAUAAAAUGUUCAAAGAAAAAUGGACAUAUACUAUUCAUAUCAAGGCAUAUACUGGUUAAGCUAUUAGCCAUGAAGAAUGAAGGAAAAACUUCAGACCUCCAGGCCGAAAACUAAAUAACUUAUCAGAGGGAGGAAAUCAUGCUGGCCUUAGACUUCCUCUAAGCAAUAUUCAAAGCCAGAAAACAAAGGAAAAAUGUUUGCAGUCUUAAGGCAAAGCCAGCAUGACCCCAAACUAUGAUAUCUAAGUAAGUGACAUUCAGAAAUUGAUGAAAAAGGCAAACAUAACAUCCACGAAUCCAUGUAAAAAAAAAAAAAAACUAUUUAGUGAAGAGCAGAUAGCUAAGUGAUGAAUCAAAAUUAAUAAGUAGGAAUUGAGAACUCAGGUGUGUUGCGACCACUGGAUUUUAAAAUAGAGAUCAAGACCAAAUGACCAAAGGAAUUAAGGUUACAAAACAGAAACAUUAAAA